rnacentral:rRNA from 1 species
UGGGGAAUAUUGCGCAAUGGGCGAAAGCCUGACGCAGCGACGCCGCGUGGAGGAUGAAGGUCUUCGGAUUGUAAACUCCUGUCAGAUGGGAAGAAAAGUUUAUGUCUAAUAAAUGUAAAAUAUGACGGUACCAUCAGAGGAAGCACCGGCUAACUUCGUGCCAGCAGCCGCGGUAAUACGAAGGGUGCAAACGUUAUUCGGAAUCACUGGGCGUAAAGGGUGCGUAGAUGGCGUAUUAAGUUUGUUGUUAAAGGCUUCAGCCUAACUGAAGUAUUGCGAUGAAAACUGGUAUGCUAGAGGGUGAGAGAGAGAAGUGGAAUUCCUGGAGUAGCGGUAAAAUGCGUGGAUCUCAGGAGGAACACCAAUGGCGAAGGCAGCUUCUUGGCUCAUUCCUGACAUUGAGGCACGAAAGCGUGGGGAGCAAACAGG